rnacentral:rRNA from 1 species
UACGUAGGGACCGAGCGUUGUCCGGAUUCAUUGGGCGUAAAGAGCUCGUAGGCGGCUGUUCAAGUCGAACGUGAAAACUCGGAGCUCAACUCCGAGCCUGCGUUCGAUACUGGACGGCUAGAGUCUGGUAGGGGGGAUCUGGAAUUCCUGGUGUAGCGGUGGAAUGCGCAGAUAUCAGGAGGAACACCGGUGGCGAAGGCGGUACUCUGGGACGGUACUGACGCUGAGACGCGAAAGCGUGGGGAGCGAACAGG